rnacentral:ribozyme from 1 species
AUGAGUAUACACUGAUAUGGGUAUGGACCCGAGGUCUCUUGAUAGAUAAUAUAGGCACUGCAUACUCUACUCCGACUCAAUACGUUCACGUUUUACAAAAUGGUAACAUAUCUCUACAAAUAUCUGAGUUUGGGUAUACGGGGAAACCCAACCCCUUGGGAACAAAUAAUCCCUUGGGGGUUAUAUGGCUACAUUGAACGAA